AUGGACAUUGACCAACUCCCUUGCGGGAGCUUCUGCCUGGUGGCCGUAGCCACCAUUCUUAUGUCCUUGAUUCUGAGGCAGGUUCUGAGUGGUAAGCACACCGGAGCCAAGCUUCCUCCAGGUCCAUGGAACCUCCCCGUCAUCGGCAGUCUCCACCACCUCGUCGGCACCAAACUGCCGCCCCACCGCGCAUUCCUUCGCCUGGCGCGCCGGCACGGUCCGCUCAUGCUGUUGAGGCUCGGCGAAGUGCCCAUCGUCAUCGUGUCCACCCCCGAGGCAGCGAUGGAAGUGUUCAAGACGAACGACCUCGCCUUUGCGACCCGCCCGAGCGGCCCCACGGUGGACAUCAUCAGCAGCGGGGGCAAAGGCUUCGCCUUAGCGCCCUAUGGUGACCACUGGCGGCAGAUGCGCAAGGUCUGCAUCAUGGAGCUGCUCAGCACGCGGCAGGUGCGCCGGAUCGACUCCAUCAAGCAAGCCGAGGUGACACACCUCAUGGAGUCGGUGGCCACCGCGUCUUCUGCCUCGUCGUCCGCCAUCAUCGACAUUGGCAAGGAGCUGGCCAGGCUGACGAACAACAUCAUCGCGAGGGCGGCAUUUGGCGGUAAGUGUCGGCAGCAGGAGGUGUACCUCCGAGAGCUCGCCGUGUUGGCUUCGCUCGUGGGAGGGUUCAGCCUGGUGGAACUCUACCCGUCGUCGCGGCUGGUGCGGUGGCUGACCGGCGACUCCCGCGACGUGAGGAGGAGCCACGCCCAGAUACAACGAAUCCUGGCAGAUAUCAUCCAAGAGCGCAAGGAGAAGAAACAAUGUAAUGCCUCGGCUGCUGCCACUGCUACUCCUAAUGAGGACGAAGACCUGUUGGGUGUCCUCCUGAGGCUGCACGAGGAAGACACCCUUAAUUUCUCUUUGACGUUCGAGACCGUCGGGACCAUCAUCUUUGAAAUAUUUGGAGCUGCUACGGACACCACAGCUUCCACGCUGGAAUGGGCCAUGGCAGAACUCAUCCGCAACCCACACGUAAUGGCAAGGGCAAAACUCGAACUCCAGCAGAGGCUCGGACACCACCGCAGGUCCACCGUCACCAGCGCAGACCUGGAUGGCUUACACUAUCUUCGGAUGGUCAUCAAGGAGACCCUAAGGUUGCACCCCUCCGUGUCACUGAUACACAGGGCGGCCAUGGAGGAUUGCCAAGUGAUGGGCUACCACAUACCCAAGGGCACCUCCGUCAUGAUAAACGCCUUCGCGGUUGGCACGGACCCGACACACUGGGGUGAGGAUGCCGCGGAGUUCAGGCCAGAGAGGUUUGAGGAGAUGAGUGUGGAGUACUUCAAGCAAGGGCCACAGAUGGAGUUCAUCCCGUUCGGAGCUGGUCGUAGGCAGUGCCCUGGAGCCUUGUUUGCGAGCACGACGAUGGAGCUUGUGCUGGCAAACCUCCUGUACUACUUUGACUGGGCGAUUCCGGGUGGGGCAGGCCCAGAGACGCUGGACAUGGGCGAGGUGUUUGGUAUCGUCGUGCAAACUAGGUCCAGCCUGCGCCUGCAGGCAGUAGCAUCUUGUCAUCUACAAGAGCAUUAG
rnacentral:rRNA from 1 species